rnacentral:rRNA from 1 species
AGAGUUUGAUCCUGGCUCAGGACGAACGCUGGCGGCGUGCCUAAUACAUGCAAGUCGAGCGGACAGAUGGGAGCUUGCUCCCUGAUGUUAGCGGCGGACGGUGAGUAACACGUGGGUAACCUGCCUGUAAGACUGGGAUAACUCCGGAAAACCGGGGCUAAUACCGGAUGGUUGUUUGAACCGCAUGGUUCAAACAUAAAAGGUGGCUUCGGCUACCACUUACAGGUGGACCCGCGGCGCAUUAGCUAGUUGGUGAGGUAACGGCUCACCAAGGCAACGAUGCGUAGCCGACCUGAGAGGGUGAUCGGCACACUGGGACUGAGACACGGCCCAGACUCCUACGGGAGGCAGCAGUAGGGAAUCUUCCGCAAUGGACGAAAGUCUGACGGAGCAACGCCGCGUGAGUGAUGAAGGUUUUCGGAUCGUAAAGCUCUGUUGUUAGGGAAGAACAAGUACCGUUCGAAUAGGGCGGUACCUUGACGGUACCUAACCAGAAAGCCACGGCUAACUACGUGCCAGCAGCCGCGGUAAUACGUAGGUGGCAAGCGUUGUCCGGAAUUAUUGGGCGUAAAGGGCUCGCAGGCGGUUUCUUAAGUCUGAUGUGAAAGCCCCCGGCUCAACCGGGGAGGGUCAUUGGAAACUGGGGAACUUGAGUGCAGAAGAGGAGAGUGGAAUUCCACGUGUAGCGGUGAAAUGCGUAGAGAUGUGGAGGAACACCAGUGGCGAAGGCGACUCUCUGGUCUGUAACUGACGCUGAGGAGCGAAAGCGUGGGGAGCGAACAGGAUUAGAUACCCUGGUAGUCCACGCCGUAAACGAUGAGUGCUAAGUGUUAGGGGGUUUCCGCCCCUUAGUGCUGCAGCUAACGCAUUAAGCACUCCGCCUGGGGAGUACGGUCGCAAGACUGAAACUCAAAGGAAUUGACGGGGGCCCGCACAAGCGGUGGAGCAUGUGGUUUAAUUCGAAACAACGCGAAGAACCUUACCAGGUCUUGACAUCCUCUGACAAUCCUAGAGAUAAGACGUCCCCUUCGGGGGCAGAGUGACAGGUGGUGCAUGGUUGUCGUCAGCUCGUGUCGUGAGAUGUUGGGUUAAGUCCCGCAACGAGCGCAACCCUUGAUCUUAGUUGCCAGCAUUCAGUUGGGCACUCUAAGGUGACUGCCGGUGACAAACCGGAGGAAGGUGGGGAUGACGUCAAAUCAUCAUGCCCCUUAUGACCUGGGCUACACACGUGCUACAAUGGACAGAACAAAGGGCAGCGAAACCGCGAGGUUAAGCCAAUCCCACAAAUCUGUUCUCAGUUCGGAUCGCAGUCUGCAACUCGACUGCGUGAAGCUGGAAUCGCUUGUAAUCGCGGAUCAGCAUGCCGCGGUGAAUACGUUCCCGGGCCUUGUACACACCGCCCGUCACACCACGAGAGUUUGUAACACCCGAAGUCGGUGAGGUAACCUUUUAGGAGCCAGCCGCCGAAGGUGGGACAGAUGAUUGGGGUGAAGUCGUAACAAGGUA